rnacentral:lncRNA from 10 species
AAGAGCGCGAGCGCUCCAAACUCACCCAGCAAGAAAGGUCAAAUAGUGAGGGCACCUUGGACCCCAGUGCCCAUGACUUUCGGGGCAAGGAUGGGAGGAAGGUGUAGGAUGUCUCUUGCCCCACUGUGGGCCCGGAACUGCCACCCCAUCCCAAGACCACAGCCUCCCUCCUACCCAGGCCCCCCUGCGGAUCCAGGCCAAGACGGAGCCCUGCAGGAGGUCAGAGGAGGGGACUUCUUUGCACCCUGCGCCUCUUUCCAAUCGCCAGAGGGCAGGGCCCUACCCACAUUGGGGAUGGGAAGACAGCCCCUACCCAGAGGCAGGGCUCGGGGCUCUGUCCAGAGUGCUGACAGUGACCUGUGUGCUCGGGACUCAACACCACCACUCCACUCCUGCCCCAGCAGAUGGGAUAAAAAAUGAGGGGCCACAUCCUCGAGGCUCCCAUCCCUGCCAAGGGACUUACCAGUUCCUUUCCUAACCCUGACUCCUCUCGUGUCCGGCCGCAGGACGUCCCCCCAGUAUACACAUCUGGAGUGCCCCCAGAGCAGGGCAUGCAAUCACACUUCCUGGGCCCACUACCCUCUGAGACCUAGAGAUGGCACUGCUGGACAUGAGUGAAGAGGCCCCAGAGGACCUAGGCUACUUUGUAACAUUAGGUGGCUUGGACUGGAGGGAGGGGCUGUUUCCAGCCACCCGGAUGAUGAGGGGAGCUUAGAGGAAAUGGCGCUGACGGCCAGGUUCCAAGCCCUGCCCUACCACCCCGUCCCAUGCUAGCUCCCAGAUGGUGUCAAGCAGCCUUGCCUUUAUGUGGAUCCUGUGCACGUCAGCAACACCUGCCAAGGCAGCAGCCGAUGCCCCAAGCAGGGCUGGGUGCUGCAGGAUAGCUGUAGGCAGCUCAGGGCUGCUGCUCUCCCUGCACACUCCACCUAGGGGCUCCAGGCUCAGCUCUGCCUGGUCCUCAGGGGGUUUGAUGGACGCCUGCAAGGGCUGCAAACCCUAGGUGCAUUCUGCUGAAAGGUGGGUACCCAGCCUCUUCCACCUUAGCCUGUGGCAGCCGUGGGGGCCACACCAAGGACUAACCAUGCCUCUUCCGGAACACAAGUUUAUUUGGCAUUUGGAUGAAAUGAUUC